rnacentral:rRNA from 1 species
AUUGAACGUUGGCGGCAGGCCUAAAACAUGCAAGUCGAACGGUAACAGCGAGAGCUUGCUCUCGGCUGACAAGUGGCGAACGGGUGAGUAACACGUAGGAAUCUACCCGGUAGUGGGGGACAACCCGGGGAAACCCGGGCUAAUACCGCAUACGCCCUCUUAUUGAAAGAUAGGGGAGGAAAGCGGGGGAUCUUCGGACCUCGCGCUAUUGGA